AAAACAUUGUCUCAUGAAUAAAAUAUGAGAUAGUACCUGCCCAGUGACGUAUGUUCAACGGCCGCGGUAUCCUAACCGUGCAAAGGUAGCAUAAUCACUUGCCUAUUAAUUGUAGGCUAGAAUGAAGGGGUUAACGAAAUAAAAACUGUCUCAAUUAAUUAACUAAAAAUUAUUUUCUAUCUGAAGAAAGGUAGAUACACUCGAAGGACAAGAAGACCCUAUAGAGCUUAAUUUUAACUAUAGAACCACUCUAUAUAAAUAUUCGGUUGGGGCGACCCAGGGCUAAACAAUCACCCACUCUAUAAAAGAUAUAUUAAUCAAAUAAGUGACCCUUGAAGAUCACAAAAACAAGCUACCUUAGGGAUAACAGGCUAAUCCCACUUAAGAGUCCUUAUCAACAGUGGGGAUUGGCACCUCGAUGUUGGCUUAGGGUAUCUAUAUAGCGCAAAAGUUAUAUAAAGAUGGUUUGUUCAACCAAUGACACCCUACGUG
rnacentral:rRNA from 1 species